AGGGCUGUAGUUAAUUUUUUAUAACAUUUAACUUGCAAUUAAAAAUUAUUGAUAUCAAUCUACCUUU
rnacentral:tRNA from 1 species